CGGCUCGAACGUUUCUGCAGCGGUCGGGACGUCAGGGUGCCGCCGGUCGAGUUCCCCGUGACGUGGCGAGAGACGCCGCAACGGCACCCGGCGCUAUGCGGCCCGCACCUGUACUCGUUCACGGCCCAGGAGCGUGCUGAACGGGCGGCUGCCAUCCGUACCGGGCUGUCGGCGCGAGCCCGGGCGCUGUGCCGGCGCGUGCGUCGCUUCUCGGUGCCGCUGUGUCGUCUGAGCGCCGCCCAGCUGGC